rnacentral:rRNA from 1 species
CCUACGGGUGGCAGCAGUGAGGAAUAUUGGUCAAUGGACGCGAGUCUGAACCAGCCAAGUAGCGUGAAGGAUGACUGCCCUAUGGGUUGUAAACUUCUUUUAUAAAGGAAUAAAGCGAGGUAUGCGUACCUUUUUGUAUGUACUUUAUGAAUAAGGAUCGGCUAACUCCGUGCCAGCAGCCGCGGUAAUACGGAGGAUCCGAGCGUUAUCCGGAUUUAUUGGGUUUAAAGGGAGCGUAGAUGGGUUGUUAAGUCAGUUGUGAAAGUUUGCGGCUCAACCGUAAAAUUGCAGUUGAUACUGGCAGUCUUGAGUACAGUAGAGGUAGGCGGAAUUCGUGGUGUAGCGGUGAAAUGCUUAGAUAUCACGAAGAACUCCGAUUGCGAAGGCAGCUUACUAGACUGCAACUGACAUUGAUGCUCGAAAGUGUGGGUAUCAAACAGGAUUAGAUACCCUAGUAGUC